GCCUGAAGUUGGGCUGGAAACUCCUGCAAAGAGUAUUAAAUUGAAAAGCAUUCUCAAUGCGGGAACUUUCUUUGAGUGGCAGUUACUUCGUGUUGUUGAGACUGAAUAAGGAAGAGAGGAGAUGUCUGAAAGUGAAGGAGAGAAACGGGAAUCUCACUCUCAAUCUGAUGUAGCAUCUGCCAGAAGAUCUAUGAUUGGAAAUGGUUUGAGCACUCCAUCUGAAAACAUCACAGAGUUUGAAUCUCAGUUGUUGUUAGGUAAACAAAAUAGAGUUCCUCAUUUAAAUGUUCAUGAUAAUCCAGUGCUUAGGAUCUAAUUAAUUUUGAUGCUGCUCCGGAUCCAGAUCCUGAAUAGGCACUGGAAAAAUUGAAUCCGGAUCUAGCAAAUGCCAGAAGAUCUAUGAUUGGAAAUGGAUUGAGCACUACAACUAAAAACAUCCAAGAGUUUGAAUCCCAAUCCUUUGGUAAAUAUGAUAGAGUUAAUAUAUUAGGUGUUCCUCAUUUAAAUUUUCCAGAAGUGACAACCUCAUAGGAUCUACUAAAUUUGUAUGGGGAUCUGGAUUCAGAUCCUGAAUAAGCUCUGGUAAAAGUGGAUCUGGAUUCAAAUCCAGAUCCAGAUCCAGGCUAUUUCUUUAAAAAUUGACUUAUUUUUUUUCAACAUAGCAAAAUUUUCAA